rnacentral:lncRNA from 1 species
CUAUAUAAGCUUCUACAAUAAAACCUUCGACUUGUACAUUAUUUUUCACUUUUUUCUUGAGACUAUGUAUGUAUCUUUCAAAUGAGUACAUCCACCUGCACUGCACUAGACCUCCACCCUAACUUCAUAUGCUUGAUGAAUCAUGAGAUGCUCCAUGAAGUUAAAGAAGUUGAGAGGAAAUAUCUUCUCCAACUUGCAUAUCUC